CGCUGGCGGUAGGCCUAACACAUGCAAGUCGAACGGCAGCACAGGAGAGCUUGCUCUCUGGGUGGCGAGUGGCGGACGGGUGAGGAAUACAUCGGAAUCUACUUUUUCGUGGGGGAUAACGUAGGGAAACUUACGCUAAUACCGCAUACGACCUACGGGUGAAAGCAGGGGAUCUUCGGACCUUGCGCGAUUGAAUGAGCCGAUGUCGGAUUAGCUAGUUGGCGGGGUAAAGGCCCACCAAGGCGACGAUCCGUAGCUGGUCUGAGAGGAUGAUCAGCCACACUGGAACUGAGACACGGUCCAGACUCCUACGGGAGGCAGCAGUGGGGAAUAUUGGACAAUGGGCGCAAGCCUGAUCCAGCCAUACCGCGUGGGUGAAGAAGGCCUUCGGGUUGUAAAGCCCUUUUGUUGGGAAAGAAAUCCAGCUGGCUAAUACCCGGUUGGGAUGACGGUACCCAAAGAAUAAGCACCGGCUAACUUCGUGCCAGCAGCCGCGGUAAUACGAACGGUGCAAGCGUUACUC
rnacentral:rRNA from 1 species